rnacentral:rRNA from 1 species
UCCCGUUGAUCCUGCGGGGGAUUGCUGCUAUUGGAAUUCGACUAAGCCAUGCAAGUAUUUCCGAGCAAUCGGAUGCGUAAGGCUCAGUAACACGUCGGUAACUUGCCCUAAGGUCAGGGAUAACCUCGCGAAAGUGAGGAUAAUACCUGAUAGGGAAUCGCUCCUGGAAUGGGCUUUUCCCGCAAACUCGUGCCUUAGGAUAGGCCGGCGGUGGAUUAGGCUGUUGGCGGUGUAACGGACCACCAAACCAAAGAUCCAUACGGGCCAUGAGAGUGGUAGCCCGGAGAGGGACACUGAGAUACUGGUCCCAGCCCUACGGGGUGCAGCAGGCGCGAAACCUUUUCAAUGCACGAAAGUGUGAGAAGGGAAUUCCAAGUGCUCAGGUUUUACCUGGGCUUUUGUUAAGUGUAAAUAGCUUAGCGAAUAAGGGGUGGGUAAGACUGGUGCCAGCCGCCGCGGUAACACCAGCGCCCCAAGUGGGAAUCACGAUUAUUGGGUCUAAAGCGUUCGUAGCAGGUCUUGUAAAUCCUUUGUGAAAUCGGCAGGCUUAACCUGUCGUCGUGCAGAGGACACUGCAGGACUUGAGACCGGGAGAGGUUAGAAGUAUUCUUUGGGUACCGGUAAAAUGGGUUAAUCCAGAGAGGACUACCAAUGGCGAAGGCAUCUAACCAGAACGGUUCUGACUGUGAGGAACGAAAGCUAGGGGAGCAAAACGGAUUAGAUACCCGAGUAGUCCUAGCCGUAAACGCUGCGAGCAAGGUAUUGCGCCUCCCACGAGGAUGCGCAGUGUCGAAAUGAAGAUGUUAAGCUCGCCACCAGGGAAGUACGGUCGCAAGGCUGAAACUUUAAGGAAUUGGCGGGGGAGCGCCACAAGGGGUGCGGCGUGCGGUUCAAUCUAACUCAACGCAGAGAACCUCACUAGGCCCGACGGCAGAAUGAAGGUCAUGCUGAAGACAUUACCUGACAAGCCGAGAGGUAGUGCAUGGCCGUCGCCAGCUCGUGCUGUGAAGUGUCCAGUUAAGUCUGGCAACGAGCGAGACCUGUACCCUCUAUUGCUAACGACCACUACGGUGGGAUCGAGCACUUUGAGGGGACUGCCCUGGAAACGGGGAGGAAGGUGCAGGCUACGGUAGGUCUGUACGCUCCGAAUGGUCUAGGCUACACGCGCGCAACAAUGAUAGGGACAAUGGGAUGCCACCCCGAAAGGGGGAGCUAAGCCUCUAAACCCUAUCCUAGUGCAGAUUGAGGCUUGUAACUCAGCCUCAUGACGCUGGAAUCCCUAGUAAUCGGAUGUCAUCAUCGUCCGGUGAAUAUGUCCCCGCUCCUUGCACACACCGCCCGUCAAACCAACCGAGCAGGGUUUAAGUGAAACGCAGUUUAUUGAUUGCGUUGAACUUAAGCUCAGUGAGGUGGGUUAAGUCGUCACAAGGUC